GAUCACGUAGCUCAGUUGGCAGAGCAUUGGAUUAGUAUCCCAAAGGUCGCGGGUUCGAUUCCCACCGUGGUCA